UACGUAGGGUGCGAGCGUUGUCCGGAAUUAUUGGGCGUAAAGAGCUCGUAGGCGGUGUGUCACGUCGGCCGUGAAAACCUGCAGCUUAACUGUGGGCGUGCGGUCGAUACGGGCAUCACUGGAGUUCGGCAGGGGAGACUGGAAUUCCCGGUGUAGCGGUGAAAUGCGCAGAUAUCGGGAGGAACACCUAUGGCGAAGGCAGCUCGCUGGGACGGUACUGACGCUGAGACGCGAAAGCGUGGGGAGCAAACAGG
rnacentral:rRNA from 1 species